GAUACCCCACCAUUUAUCCAUUCUUCUAAUAAACUGCCAUGUUAUUCAAACCAUCUUGCAUGUUUUAGUAUAUGAUCAAAACGACAAAUUUGUUAUCGUUUCGGGAAAAUGGUUAUAACCUAUAGAUUUAUCCAAGUAUUUAUAGGAGUUUUCCUCUCAAAAUUAGGUUUUAGAGCAUCCAAGCCCAAAUAUGUUCUUGAAUGCCCCGACAUUCAACUUUUAUUUAUUUACCAAAAUACCAC
rnacentral:lncRNA from 1 species